CCUUUGGACAACCUGUGUCCUCCAUCUUCUCCUCCUCAUCCUCUUCCUCCUCCUCUCUAUACUGGUAGAUAUAUCUCUUCUGGUCCUCCAUUUCCGGUAGCUUGACUGGUUCUGCUGCCGUUUCAUUGACCAGUGCUGUUGUCCUCCAGGGUUGGUCCUGACUAGGGAAAGCUGCCCAGGACCUCAUGUCUCUGUUAGCCAGCAUAGGGAGCUCUUCUCUGGAGUUAGGGUCUUGGCUAAAGCCCUGGUCUUGGUUCUGGUGCUGGUUGUACCCCAGUAGGGUUUGGAGGGAUGAGGGGAGUGUGAAUUCAGCCACCAGAAGGUUAGGGGCAGAAGUUGUUAUCAGCUUUCUGUAGGGGGUAGCCUGGGGCUGGGCCUGGGGGGGUGAGAGGGGGUCUGUGGUCAGUCCUGGGGUGUUGCUACUUCCCCCCUCCUCCUCCUCUUGGUGUGGCUGGUACAUGAUGUCAGAGGAGAUACUCUGUCUGUAGCCAUUGCUAUGGUUCCAGAUGUCCUCCAGCUCCUCCUCUACCUCCUCAAACUGCUGGUGGUCUGGAUGGAUGGUGAGGUCGGGGUCGACCGGAUCAGAGUCGAGUUCUGUCUCUGUCUGGUGGUGUCUGUUUCUGGGUGUUGUUUUUGUCUCUGGGUGGGCAGGAGCUGGGGUUGCUGUGGGAUUUCCCCUGGGUGUGGACACAUCCUCCAUACGCCCCUCCUCCAGAGACACUAGCCUCCCCACCACAGUCCUCAUGGGCUGGGGCUCUUGGAGAACAUCAGGUGCAUUGAGCUUCAAGCUCCCAGAGUUGGUGACACCAGAGAUGCCAGAGUCCAUUGAGUCUUGCAUCAUACUCCCUAACCCACUGACCUUCAGAUUCACAACCAUCUGAGAAGCCUGGCUGGUCUCCUGGAGGUCAACACUCUCUCUAUGGGUCUUCAACCUAUGAUGGUACUGGUGUCCAUUGAGGUCCUGAAUGAGGCACUCGUGGUUCUGAUAGGCUGAGGAGGGACAGUGGUCCUUGCUCUCAUGGUUCUGAUAGGCUGAGGAUGGACAGGGGUCCUUGCGCUCAUGGUUCUGAUAGGCUGAGGAGGGACAGGGGUCCUUGCUCUUUACAAUGGGACUUCUACUAACCAUGGUCAUUUCCAUGUAAUUGUAAUGGUCUCGGUUCAUUGGAGUGGGACUCUUUGGGCAAUAAGCUGUGAUUGGUGGUUGCUUGCUGAAGAUGAGCUCCGACCACUCCUGCUCAGGCUCCUGGAGUACGGUCUGGAUCUGUGUUAGGGAUAGGUCAUUGCUUGAUACGUUCUGAUCCCAGUCCUCAUCCAGGGCAGGAGGAGGAGGAGGAGGAAAAUCUGUAUCUAGAUUAGACAGAGGCUCCAGCUGAAUAGCCUGUGUCAGUGGCUUUGUCUGUUUUAGUAUUUGUGUCGGUGUCUGUCUCAGUAGUGGCUGUGUCUGUGUCAGUAAUGGUUGUGUCUGUGUCUGUAUCUUUGUCAGUAGUGGUUGUGUCUGUGUCGGUAGUGGUUGUGUCUGUGUCAGUAGUGGCUGUGUCAGUGUCAGUAGUGGCUGUGUCUGAAUCUGUGUCAUUGUUUCAUAUCUGUAAGUAGUGACGGCCUCAUUAUCUGGUGCUCUGUGCGUGUCUGAGGGAGGGGAGCGGGUAUGUUUGAAAGAGCUGAGGGCUGCAUGUGUCUCUGUGUGAGGGUUGGGAUUGAGGUUUGGGUUGGAGGUUCCCCUGUGUUCUGGGAGUCCUAUAGUGAUGACAUCCUGUAUACUGGGGAUCAACCUCAUGUCUUUGGAGAGGUCGAAGGUCAAAACAGACCCCAGAGACAGGAACCUGCAGUGGCUCCUCACCUGGCCCCUGGGUGGAGCUAUAGAGACUGCCUCUGUCACUGCAUAGGGGCUGACAGUGGACACCCCAGAACAUUCAUCUUCAAUAUCCCUGGCCAAUGGGUUAUCCAUGUAGUCCACGAGUUCCACCCCCUGCCCUGGGCCCACCCCGUCGGCCUUUAAUAGGCUCUUCUUCUUCCUCCGGCCCUCCUUCAUUGGCCAGGUCUGGGUGUCGUACAGCGUGAUUUGCUGGGGUGCAGCUUCAGCAGGACAUGCCACCUCUGUCUGCUCCUCCCCCUCUACAACCAUGAUUUUCUGAAUGGUGUGGCGGCCAGCGUCUCUCUUCCUUCUCCUCUUCUUGCUCCUUAUCUUUAGACUAGAAAAGAUGGAGGUGUUCUUGGGCAGGGAGGAGGGGAAAGAGACGCAAGAUUGAGGAGCCCUGGAGGAGGAGGGGGAUGAAGAGGAGGAGGUCUUGGUGUGGAGGCGGGGCAGUAACAUACUCUCGUAUGCAGGAGCUGAUGUCAUGUUGUUGUCCUUUAAAUAGAGGAGGACAGAACACAGGUUUAGACAGGAGAGGAGGAGAUAUGAGUAGAGACAGGGGUAGAGAGGGAAGGGAGAGGAGAGGAGUGGAGAGAGGAUAUUAGACAGGAAAAGAGAGAGGAGAGGAGACAGUGAUAGAGAGGAGAGGAGACAGGGAUAGAGAGGAGAGGAGACAGGGUUAGAGAGGGAGAGGAGAGGAGACAGGGUUAGAGAGGGAGAGGAGAAGAGACAGGGAUAGAGAGGGAGAGGAGAGGAGACAGGGAUAGAGAGGAAGAGGAGAAGAGACAGGGAUAGAGAGGGAGAGGAGAGGAGACAGGGAUAGAGAGGGAGAGGAGAGGAGACAGGGUUAGAGAGUGAGAGGAGAGGAGACAGGGUUAGAGAGG
ensembl:lncRNA